GCACUUCGGGAUAAGCCUGGGAAACUGGGUCUAAUACCGAAUAGGACCAUAAGGCGCAUGCCUAUUGGUGAAAAGCUUUUGCGGUGUGGGAUGGGCCCGCGGCCUAUCAGCUUGUUGGUGGGGUGACGGCCUACCAAGGCGACGACGGGUAGCCGGCCUGAGAGGGUGUCCGGCCACACUGGGACUGAGAUACGGCCCAGACUCCUACGGGAGGCAGCAGUGGGGAAUAUUGCACAAUGGGCGCAAGCCUGAUGCAGCGACGCCGCGUGGGGGAUGACGGCCUUCGGGUUGUAAACCUCUUUCACCAUCGACGAAGGUCCGGGUUUUCUCUGAUUGACGGUAGGUGGAGAAGAAGCACCGGCCAACUACGUGCCAGCAGCCGCGGUAAUACGUAGGGUGCGAGCGUUGUCCGGAAUUACUGGGCGUAAAGAGCUCGUAGGUGGUUUGUCGCGUUGUUCGUGAAAUCUCACGGCUUAACUGUGAGCGUGCGGGCGAUACGGGCAGACUAGAGUACUGCAGGGGAGACUGGAAUUCCUGGUGUAGCGGUGGAAUGCGCAGAUAUCAGGAGGAACACCGGUGGCGAAGGCGGGUCUCUGGGCAGUAACUGACACUGAGGAGCGAAAGCGUGGGGAGCGAACAGGAUUAGAUACCCUGGUAGUCCACGCCGUAAACGGUGGGUACUAGGUGUGGGUUUCCUU
rnacentral:rRNA from 1 species